GGGCGUAUGGUCUAGAGGUAUGAUACCUGCUUUGGGUUGAUUUACUCAUUGCAGGGGGUCUUCGGUUCGAAUCCGGAUUCGCCCC